AGAUGUAAAGCAAUGCUGCCCAGACUGCAAAGCUGUGCUUGAUGAGCCUGCAUUAUGCUUGUUGUGUGGUAGAUUAUGCCCUUAAGUUGGAAAACAUGCUGCAGUGAUAGUGGAUGUAUGGCUCAUGCAAUGACCUGCGGUGCUGGUACUGGUGUAUAUCUUUUGAUAAGGAGAACAACACUUUUGCUGCAAAGAUGUGCUCAGCAAGCUCCUUGGCCAUCCCCAUAGUUGGAUGCAUUUGGUGAAGAGGAUAUCGAAAUGCAUAGAGGAAAACCACUGUAUACGCUGCUCUAAGUUACAUGGUCGCUUCUCAUGGCCUUGAUCGGAGUUCGAAGGUUCUUGGACAAACUACCAUUGGUACCUUCUUCAUGGUUUAGUUCGGUUUGAUGAUCAAGCUGGUGACGAUGCAUUUGAAUCAGACAUCAAGUGCAAAGAAAAUUGCCGAACAAUGUUUUUAGCUUCCAUAAAUUAUUGUGCAAACUAAGUAAGGAUCUUGGAUUAUGAUGUUGGCAUAUAUGUCCAUUAUGGCUGGACGUACCGGUAAUCAGCUGCUAAGGUUUUC